rnacentral:rRNA from 1 species
UGGGGAAUAUUGGGCAAUGGGCGAAAGCCUGACCCAGCAACGCCGCGUGAUUGAAGAAGGCCUUCGGGUUGUAAAGAUCUGUCCUAUGGGACGAAAAAAAUGACGGUACCAUAGGAGGAAGCCCCGGCUAACUACGUGCCAGCAGCCGCGGUAAUACGUAGGGGGCGAGCGUUGUCCGGAAUUACUGGGCGUAAAGGGUGCGCAGGCGGUUUUUUAAGUCAGAUGUGAAAUACCCAGGCUUAACUUGGGGGGUGCAUCUGAUACUGGAGGACUUGAGUGCAGGAGAGGAAAGUGGAAUUCCUAGUGUAGCGGUGAAAUGCGUAGAUAUUAGGAGGAACACCAGUGGCGAAGGCGACUUUCUGGACUGUAACUGACGCUGAGGCACGAAAGCGUGGGGAGCAAACA